rnacentral:ncRNA from 1 species
UUGCUCUGUCCCAUGAGAGGGCAGGGAGGACGGAAACCUCCCGCGGAGCAGAAGGGCAAAAGCUCGCUUGAUCUUGAUUUUCAGUACGAAUACAGACCGUGAAAGCGGGGCCUCACGAUCCUUCUGGCUUUUUGGGUUUUAAGCAGGAG